GGGCGAGUGGCGGAAUUGGCAUACGCGCAUGACUUAGGAUCAUGUGCCGAAAGGCUUGGAGGUUCAACUCCUCUCUCGCCCA
rnacentral:tRNA from 1 species